UACACACCGCCCGUCACACCAUGGGAGCGGGUUCUGCCAGAAGUAGUUAGCCUAACCGCAAUGAGGGCGAUUACCACGGCAGGGUUCGUGACUGGGGUG
rnacentral:rRNA from 1 species